GAGACAGCCCCUGAGCCUCUUUUCUUUUUAGAAGAAGUCUGCACCUCAAGGGCCAGAGGGUAAUGUAAGAUGUGAACUGAUUCAGGAAGCUUUAGCAAAAUCUCCUAUGCAUCCUGGCUCCUCCCUUACCUCUUUGGAGCAGUUCCUCAGAGUUGUCUGGGAGGCUGUCUCCUGGGCCAUAGUCUUCAGUAAGGUCCCCAAAUAAAACUUAA